rnacentral:sRNA from 1 species
CUUUUUCUUUAUUUUUU